GUGGGGAAUAUUGCACAAUGGAGGAAACUCUGAUGCAGCGACGCCGCGUGAGUGAAGAAGUAAUUCGUUAUGUAAAGCUCUAUCAGCAGGGAAGAUAGUGACGGUACCUGACUAAGAAGCUCCGGCUAAAUACGUGCCAGCAGCCGCGGUAAUACGUAUGGAGCAAGCGUUAUCCGGAUUUACUGGGUGUAAAGGGAGUGUAGGUGGCCAUGCAAGUCAGAAGUGAAAAUCCGGGGCUCAACCCCGGAACUGCUUUUGAAACUGUGAGGCUGGAGUGCAGGAGGGGUGAGUGGAAUUCCUAGUGUAGCGGUGAAAUGCGUAGAUAUUAGGAGGAACACCAGUGGCGAAGGCGGCUCACUGGACUGUAACUGACACUGAGGCUCGAAAGCGUGGGGAGCAAACAGGAUUAGAAACCCCUGUAGUCC
rnacentral:rRNA from 1 species